rnacentral:miRNA from 10 species
CUGCCAUGAUGCCAGCUGCAGUGGGGGAGGCAUGGCCGAGGCUUUGCACUCCACAGAGCUGGCAGGGUCAGGAACAGG